rnacentral:rRNA from 1 species
GACGAACGCUGGCGGCGUGCUUAACACAUGCAAGUCGAACGGUGACGCUGGAGCUUGCUCCAGCUGAUCAGUGGCGAACGGGUGAGUAACACGUGAGCAACCUGCCCUUGACUCUGGGAUAACCCCGGGAAACCGGAGCUAAUACCGGAUACGAACCGCACAGGCAUCUGCGCGGUUGGAAAGUUUUUCGGUCAAGGAUGGGCUCGCGGCCUAUCAGCUUGUUGGUGGGGUAACGGCCCACCAAGGCGACGACGGGUAGCCGGCCUGGGAGGGCGGCCGGCCACACUGGGACUGAGACACGGCCCAGACUCCUACGGGAGGCAGCAGUGGGGAAUAUUGCACAAUGGGCGAAAGCCUGAUGCAGCGACGCCGCGUGAGGGAUGAAGGCCUUCGGGUUGUAAACCUCUUUCAGCAGGGAAGAAGCGAAAGUGACGGUACCUGCAGAAGAAGCACCGGCUAACUACGUGCCAGCCGCCGCUGUAACAC